rnacentral:ncRNA from 2 species
GGCCGUUGACGUCUCCGAGCCCGGAGCGCCUACAGCGGAAAGCCAAGGACUUCGGGCCGAUAGGGUGUCGUGGGAAACUGCGGCGCCUCCCGCAUCGGAAAGGGGACGAGCGCAGCCGUGG